rnacentral:rRNA from 1 species
AGAGUUUGAUCAUGGCUCAGAUUGAACGCUGGCGGCAUGCCUUACACAUGCAAGUCGAACGGCAGCACGGGAGCUUGCUCCUGGUGGCGAGUGGCGAACGGGUGAGUAAUGCAUCGGAACGUGCCCUGAAGUGGGGGAUAACGCAGCGAAAGUUGCGCUAAUACCGCAUAUUCUGUGAGCAGGAAAGCAGGGGAUCGCAAGACCUUGCGCUUUAGGAGCGGCCGAUGUCGGAUUAGCUAGUUGGUGGGGUAAAGGCUCACCAAGGCGACGAUCCGUAGCGGGUCUGAGAGGAUGAUCCGCCACACUGGGACUGAGACACGGCCCAGACUCCUACGGGAGGCAGCAGUGGGGAAUUUUGGACAAUGGGCGAAAGCCUGAUCCAGCCAUGCCGCGUGAGUGAAGAAGGCCUUCGGGUUGUAAAGCUCUUUCGGCGGGGAAGAAAUCGCAUUCUCUAAUACAGGAUGUGGAUGACGGUACCCGAAUAAGAAGCACCGGCUAACUACGUGCCAGCAGCCGCGGUAAUACGUAGGGUGCGAGCGUUAAUCGGAAUUACUGGGCGUAAAGCGUGCGCAGGCGGUUUCGUAAGACAGACGUGAAAUCCCCGGGCUCAACCUGGGAACUGCGUUUGUGACUGCGAGGCUAGAGUACGGCAGAGGGGGAUGGAAUUCCGCGUGUAGCAGUGAAAUGCAUAGAUAUGCGGAGGAACACCAAUGGCGAAGGCAAUCCCCUGGGCCUGUACUGACGCUCAUGCACGAAAGCGUGGGGAGCAAACAGGAUUAGAUACCCCGGUAGUCCAA